rnacentral:rRNA from 1 species
AUUGAACGCUGGCGGCAGGCUUAACACAUGCAAGUCGAGCGGGGUUUUCGGACCUAGCGGCGGACGGGUGAGUAAUGCGUAGGAAGCUGCCCGAUAGAGGGGGAUACCAGUUGGAAACGACUGUUAAUACCGCAUAAUGUCUACGGACCAAAGUGUGGGACCUUCGGGCCACAUGCUAUCGGAUGCGCCUACGUGGGAUUAGCUAGUUGGUGAGGUAAUGGCUCACCAAGGCGACGAUCUCUAGCUGGUUUGAGAGGAUGAUCAGCCACACUUGGAAUGAGACACGGUCCAGACUCCUACGGGAGGAAGCAGUGGGGAAUAUUGGACAAUGGGCGCAAGCCUGAUCCAGCCAUGCCGCGUGUGUGAAGAAGGCCUUCGGGUUGUAAAGCACUUUCAGCGAGGAGGAAGGGUGGUGUGUUAAUAGCUGCAACCUUUGACGUUACUCGCAGAAGAAGCACCGGCUAACUCUGUGCCAGCCGCCGCAGUAACAC